rnacentral:lncRNA from 1 species
AGAAACCUCAUUUCUUCCCCCUUCUUUCUCUCUCUACUCUAACUUCUCUCUACUCUCCUCUACCUUCUCCCUACACCUCCGGCCACCGUUAAACACCUAGAGCCACCACCCAAACCACCUUGUAACCUACUUCUCCGGUUGAUCUUCAAUCAGAACCUUCAAAUAUUCAUCAAUCCAACCCACAAAACCCUUAAUAUCAAGAACCCUAGCCCUUCAACUAUGAAUCCUAACUCUUCUCGAUGAACCAUAACCCUAAACCAAACUCAGAACAUACUCAAACUCAUGAACGCUAGCCCUUCCCUAUGAAUCAUAACCCUCUUCUAUGAAACUUAACCCUAAACCUAACCUAGAAAUAGUCCUAACCUGACCUAAUCAACCUCAAAACUUCAGAAACUCAUAGACCCGACCCUAGUAAACACUAAUUCCCCUAUCAAACUCAAAAAUCAAACAACAAUCCUUUCAAAACCCCAACCCUAAAAUCCCUUAUGUUAACCCGCAACCCCAAUCACAUACAACAAAAACAUAUAUGGAAUGCAUGCAAAUAAAUCAAAGCAGGACAUAUCAAAGAGAAUCAAAAUUGUAACCAAACAAUCUACGAGAGUGAGGAUUCCUCCGGUUGUAAGGUACCAAUGACAAUAAGCUAUGAGGUUGAUCUCAAAUUAAUUGGGGUUUCAAUAUGAAACCCUUAACACUUCAAUCAAAGCUUUGAUGUUUAGCUGGGAUCGCUGCAGCAACUUAGGUUUUAGGAUUCUUUUUUCAUACCCCUUUUUUGAAUUAGGUUUAGGAUUUUUUAGAUUAUAUUAGGGUUAGAAUUUUAAUUAGAUAGUUUGAAUUAGGAAAGUUGUAAUUCUAAUUGAUUUGUAUUUUAGAGUUUUGAAUUGUAACUGCAAUGUAUUGGGUCCGAUUUUGUAUGUAUAUUCUAACUUUUGAUGUAUCUGUCAUAUGAAAUUGGAAAGAUUUGAUUGAAUUUUAAAUUUGGAUGUUUUUUAUUCUUUCUGUUUUCAUUUGUG